rnacentral:rRNA from 1 species
CGGCGGACGGGUGAGUAACGCGUGGGUAAUCUGCCUCCAAGACCGGGAUAACAGUGCGAAAGUGCUGCUAAUACCGGAUAAUCUCCUUAUGCCGCAUGGGAUGGGGAGCAAAGCUCUGGCGCUUGGAGAUGAGCCCGCGUUCCAUUAGCUAGUUGGUGAGGUAACGGCUCACCAAGGCGACGAUGGAUAGCCGGCCUGAGAGGGUGACCGGCCACACUGGGACUGAGACACGGCCCAGACUCCUACGGGAGGCAGCAGUAGGGAAUUUUCCGCAAUGGGGGAAACCCUGACGGAGCGACGCCGCGUGGGGGAAGAAGGCCUUCGGGUCGUAAACCUCUGUCUUUGGGGACGAAAAUGACGGUACCCAAGGAGGAAGCCCCGGCUAACUACGUGCCAGCAGCCGCGGUAACACGUAGGGGGCGAGCGUUGUCCGGAAUCACUGGGCGUAAA